UACGGGGGGGGCAAGCGUUGUUCGGAAUUACUGGGCGUAAAGGGUUUGUAGGUGGCCGGCUAAGUCAGACGUGAAAUCCCUCAGCUUAACUGGGGAACUGCGUCUGAAACUGAUCGGCUCGAGUGCAGGAGAGGAACGCGGAAUUCCAGGUGUAGCGGUGAAAUGCGUAGAUAUGUGGAGGAAUACCAAUGGCGAAGGCAGCCCCCUGGAUCAAUACUGACGCUCAUGCACGAAAGGCGUGGGGAGCAAACAGG
rnacentral:rRNA from 1 species